rnacentral:rRNA from 1 species
UACAGAGGUGGCAAGCGUUGUUCGGAAUUAUUGGGCGUAAAGAGCUCGUAGGCGGUUUGUUGCGUCUAUCGUGAAAACCUGCAGCUUAACUGUGGGCUUGCGGUGGAUACGGGCAGACUUGAGUUCGGUAGGGGAGACUGGAAUUCCUGGUGUAGCGGUGAAAUGCGCAGAUAUCAGGAGGAACACCGGUGGCGAAGGCGGGUCUCUGGGCCGAUACUGACGCUGAGGAGCGAAAGCGUGGGGAGCAAACAGG